GCGGCAACAGCUCAAAUUUGAAAUCUGGCCUCGGCCCGAGUUGUAAUUUGUAGAGGAUGCUUUUGGUGCGGUGCCUUCUGAGUUCCCUGGAACGGGACGCCAGAGAGGGUGAGAGCCCCGUAUAGUUGGACACCAAGCCUUUGUAAAGCUCCUUCGACGAGUCGAGUAGUUUGGGAAUGCUGCUCUAAAUGGGAGGUAUAUCUCUUCUAAAGCUAAAUAUAGGCCAGAGACCGAUAGCGCACAAGUAGAGUGAUCGAAAGAUGAAAAGCACUUUGAAAAGAGGGUUAAACAGUACGUGAAAUUGUUGAAAGGGAAGGGCUUGUGACCAGACUUGUGCCGGGCUGAUCAUCCGCGGUUCUCCGCGGUGCACUCUGCCCGGCUCAGGCCAGCGUCGGUUCGGGGAGGGGGACAAAAGCUUGGGGAACGUGGCUCCUCCGGGAGUGUUAUAGCCCCUCGCUCAAUACCCCUGCCGGGACCGAGGUUCGCGCCCUAGGCAAGGACGCUGGCAUAAUGGUCAUCAGCCACCCGUCUUGAAACACGGACCAAGGAGUCGAGGUUUUGCGCGAGUGUUUGGGUGUCAAACCCGCACGCGUAAUGAAAGUGAACGUAGGUGAGAGCUUCGGCGCAUCAUCGACCGAUCCUGAUGUAUUCGGAUGGAUUUGAGUAAGAGCGUAAAGCCUCGGACCCGAAAGAUGGUGAACUAUGCCUGAAUAGGGUGAAGCCAGAGGAAACUCUGGUGGAGGCUCGCAGCGGUUCUGACGUGCAAAUCG
rnacentral:rRNA from 1 species